AAAAUAACUUGAGCGGUGGAUCACU
rnacentral:rRNA from 1 species